GGAGCAGACCCCUCGUGCGGUGUCAUCUUGCUGAACUCCCCCAGGGCUUGACGGCAGCAAGGGCAGGUGAGCUCUGGCAGGUGCACGAGGGGUCGCUUCAUGCC
rnacentral:SRP_RNA from 1 species